UGUGUGUGUGUGUAUUAUAGAUGUGUGUGUGUGUAUUAUAGAUGUGUGUGUGUGUGUGUAUUAUAGAUAUGUGUGUGUGUAUUAUAGAUGUGUGUGUGUGUAUUAUAGAUGUGUGUGUGUGUGUAUUAUAGAUGUGUGUGUGUGUGUUAUAGAUGUGUGUGUGUGUAUUAUAGAUAUGUGUGUGUGUGUAUUAUAGAUGUGUGUGUGUGUGUAUUAUAGAUGUGUGUGUGUAUUAUAGAUGUGUGUGUGUAUUAUAGAUGUGUGUGUGUGUAUUAUAGAUGUGUGUGUGUGUAUUAUAGAUGUGUGUGUGUAUUAUAGAUGUGUGUGUGUGUAUUAUAGAUGUGUGUGUGUGUAUUAUAGAUGUGUGUGUGUAUUAUAGAUGUAUUAUGUGUGUGUGUAUUAUAGAUGUGUGUGUGUAUUAUAGA